rnacentral:siRNA from 1 species
AUCAUCAUCAUACCCAGCGUCCUC